rnacentral:rRNA from 1 species
GACGAACGCUGGCGGCGUGCUUAACACAUGCAAGUCGAACGGAAAGGCCCUGCUUUUGUGGGGUGCUCGAGUGGCGAACGGGUGAGUAACACGUGAGUAACCUGCCCUUGACUUUGGGAUAACUUCAUUAAACUGGGGCUAAUACCGGAUAGGAGCUCCUGCUGCAUGGUGGGGGUGGAAAAGUUUCGGCGGUUGGGGAUGGACUCGCGGCUUAUCAGCUUGUUGGUGGGGUAGUGGCUUACCAAGGCUUUGACGGGUAGCCGGCCUGAGAGGGUGACCGGCCACAUUGGGACUGGGAUACGGCCCAGACUCAUACGGGAGGCAGCAGUGGGGAAUAUUGCACACUGGGCGGAAGCCUGAUGCAGCAACGCCGCGUGCGGGAUGACGGCCUUCGGGUUGUAAACCGCGUUCGACUGUGACGAAGCGUGAGUGACGGUAAUGGGUAAAGAAGCACCGGCUAACUACGUG